rnacentral:tRNA from 1 species
GUUGGCGUAGCUUAACUAAAGCAUGGCACUGAAGAUGCCAAGAUGUGAUGUAAAAAUCCCCGACAGCA